rnacentral:misc_RNA from 1 species
AUGAAGCAUUUUAAUAAACAAUUAAUACAACCACAAUGCACGGUUACUACCGUCGAGAGAACUGACACAACUAAUAUAACUAAUUAAUCCAAGCCUUGAACUAAUAAUAAAAACUAGCAAAUCCAGUGUACUAUUACUAGUCGAUACAAAAUUCAUGAGAACGACGAUGAUUCCGGUUCAGACUAUCCAUCAAACAUUAAGCACGCGAUGAACAACGUCCUUCUCGUCAUCGCCCAACAACAAGAAUUCCACUUCUAUCAUCGACCCCAUAACAUCACACAACCUAACGACAUAAUAACGGAUCUAGUCAUAAUUACCAAGUGCACACCUCGCAUUACUGGUAUUUCUAACUUAAUCGUAUACGUAUACGAAGCGUCUUAUUUUACGAUCAUAAAACCGAUAGUAAAAAUAGCAAAUCAGCUCACCACAUCACAACUCGAUUUGGUAGUUGCCUGAACGACGAUGGCCUUCAGCUGAAGUCCUCGAUCGAACAUCUGGCAAGCGUGACCGACGAGCUAAGGCUGAGGCGAAGCUUGACGACGAGAUCGAAUAGGGGAUGUGAGCGUGAGGGUUUCACAGCGAGGAUGAGCGACACCGUGGAUUCUUGGUCCGACAUUUAAUCGAACACAACGGAAGCGAGACACAGCAGGAAUGGUAGUAUUAACCAUGAGCACGAUAAAGGACGUGCUCCUGCACGGCGUGAAGGCGAACGACGACAACCGGCGUGAAGGCGAACGACGACAACCUACGACAGCAGGAAUGGAAGACUUGGUCGAGGCAGGGUCCGAGCAUCCAGAGUUUUUGCCGAGGCCGGACAGAGAAGGAUUACAAAUCCUAGGCACGACGGUGGCCAUAGCCAAGCAGAGGGACGCGACUACGGGCAGAGGAGAACUCGGCACGACGAGAGACGACGAAACGCUACGCGCGUGAUGAGGAAGCAGAAAACCACGAGCCCACGACAAGGGAGCUCGGUGCGCAGCGAGCUAGAGCUGAGGGAACGCGUGGCUGGGGAGAAGAGCAGGGGCUGCGUAGCGGCCAAGCGAGCUGCGAGCAGGCACGCGACGACCACAGCAAGGGAGCUCCGAGCUGGAACGAUGGGAAAACUCCACGGUGGGAGUCGCGGUUUGGACAGAGCAAAGGGAAAAGCGGCUGGGCGCCAGAGGACUGAGCAAAUAAGCGCGACUGCGCGCAGGGAGCUUCGCGAGCUGGAGCAGGCGAUUCCGCGGCAUGGGCGCGAGCUGCGCGCCAUGGAACGAGCAAGGGCCGGGGCGAGUUCGAUGCGGAUCUGGCCCUCCUCGGCCAUGCGCGCCAUCCAUGGCGAGCAGAGGAGUGCACAGAAGAUAGAGAGAGGAGGGAGGAGAGAGGAGCAGGGACACGCGGCGAGGGGAGCAGGGAGACGAAGACGAGCGCUGUGCGGCGGACGAGAGAUAUGCAGGGAGAUUGGACGACCGAGCUGGGCACUGGAGAAGUGGAGAGGCUGGGCACGCAGGAAGUUGAAGCUUGCAGGGAAUCCGGCGCUGGGAGCUUCGAGCAGAGGAUCCACAUCCGACCAGGCGCCGGGGAGAAGAGGAGCAGAGGCUGGGCGAGGCACCAGGGAGAGGCGACCGCGCCAUGGGGGCUCGAUAGGGAGCAGGGCGCGCGCCCGCGCCGCCGCGCGGAACCAGGGAGAGGGAGAGGAGCGCGCGCUGGGAAAAUGGAGCGUCGUGAGAGCUCCACGUCGAGGGAGAGGAGUACCACGGCCAGGACGAGGAGCUGGGACGG